UUAAGUUAUUAAGGGCGCACGGUGGAUGCCUUGGCACUAGAAGCCGAUGAAGGACGUUACUAACGACGAUAUGCUUUGGGGAGCUGUAAGUAAGCUUUGAUCCAGAGAUUUCCGAAUGGGGAAACCCAGCAUGAGUUAUGUCAUGUUAUCGAUAUGUGAAUACAUAGCAUAUCAGAAGGCACACCCGGAGAACUGAAACAUCUUAGUACCCGGAGGAAGAGAAAGAAAAUUCGAUUCCCUUAGUAGCGGCGAGCGAAACGGGAAGAGCCCAAACCAACAAGCUUGCUUGUUGGGGUUGUAGGACACUCUAUACGGAGUUACAAAGGACGACAUUAGACGAAUCAUCUGGAAAGAUGAAUCAAAGAAGGUAAUAAUCCUGUAGUCGAAAAUGUUGUCUCUCUUGAGUGGAUCCUGAGUACGACGGAGCACGUGAAAUUCCGUCGGAAUCUGGGAGGACCAUCUCCUAAGGCUAAAUACUCUCUAGUGACCGAUAGUGAACCAGUACCGUGAGGGAAAGGUGAAAAGCACCCCGGAAGGGGAGUGAAAUAGAACCUGAAACCGUGUGCUUACAAGUAGUCAGAGCCCGUUAAUGGGUGAUGGCGUGCCUUUUGUAGAAUGAACCGGCGAGUUACGAUUUGAUGCAAGGUUAAGCAGUAAAUGUGGAGCCGUAGCGAAAGCGAGUCUGAAUAGGGCGUUUAGUAUUUGGUCGUAGACCCGAAACCAGGUGAUCUACCCUUGGUCAGGUUGAAGUUCAGGUAACACUGAAUGGAGGACCGAACCGACUUACGUUGAAAAGUGAGCGGAUGAACUGAGGGUAGCGGAGAAAUUCCAAUCGAACCUGGAGAUAGCUGGUUCUCUCCGAAAUAGCUUUAGGGCUAGCCUCAAGUGAUGAUUAUUGGAGGUAGAGCACUGUUUGGACGAGGGGCCCCUCUCGGGUUACCGAAUUCAGACAAACUCCGAAUGCCAAUUAAUUUAACUUGGGAGUCAGAACAUGGGUGAUAAGGUCCGUGUUCGAAAGGGAAACAGCCCAGACCACCAGCUAAGGUCCCAAAAUAUAUGUUAAGUGGAAAAGGAUGUGGCGUUGCCCAGACAACUAGGAUGUUGGCUUAGAAGCAGCCAUCAUUUAAAGAGUGCGUAAUAGCUCACUAGUCGAGUGACACUGCGCCGAAAAUGUACCGGGGCUAAACAUAUUACCGAAGCUGUGGAUUGUCCUUUGGACAAUGGUAGGAGAGCGUUCUAAGGGCGUUGAAGCAUGAUCGUAAGGACAUGUGGAGCGCUUAGAAGUGAGAAUGCCGGUGUGAGUAGCGAAAGACGGGUGAGAAUCCCGUCCACCGAUUGACUAAGGUUUCCAGAGGAAGGCUCGUCCGCUCUGGGUUAGUCGGGUCCUAAGCUGAGGCCGACAGGCGUAGGCGAUGGAUAACAGGUUGAUAUUCCUGUACCACCUAUAAUCGUUUUAAUCGAUGGGGGGACGCAGUAGGAUAGGCGAAGCGUGCGAUUGGAUUGCACGUCUAAGCAGUAAGGCUGAGUAUUAGGCAAAUCCGGUACUCGUUAAGGCUGAGCUGUGAUGGGGAGAAGACAUUGUGUCUUCGAGUCGUUGAUUUCACACUGCCGAGAAAAGCCUCUAGAUAGAAAAUAGGUGCCCGUACCGCAAACCGACACAGGUAGUCAAGAUGAGAAUUCUAAGGUGAGCGAGCGAACUCUCGUUAAGGAACUCGGCAAAAUGACCCCGUAACUUCGGGAGAAGGGGUGCUCUUUAGGGUUAACGCCCAGAAGAGCCGCAGUGAAUAGGCCCAAGCGACUGUUUAUCAAAAACACAGGUCUCUGCUAAACCGUAAGGUGAUGUAUAGGGGCUGACGCCUGCCCGGUGCUGGAAGGUUAAGAGGAGUGGUUAGCUUCUGCGAAGCUACGAAUCGAAGCCCCAGUAAACGGCGGCCGUAACUAUAACGGUCCUAAGGUAGCGAAAUUCCUUGUCGGGUAAGUUCCGACCCGCACGAAAGGCGUAACGAUUUGGGCACUGUCUCAACGAGAGACUCGGUGAAAUCAUAGUACCUGUGAAGAUGCAGGUUACCCGCGACAGGACGGAAAGACCCCGUGGAGCUUUACUGUAGCCUGAUAUUGAAAUUCGGCACAGCUUGUACAGGAUAGGUAGGAGCCUUU
rnacentral:rRNA from 1 species